GAGGAAAAGAAACCAACAGGGAUUGCCCCAGUAACGGCGAGUGAAGCGGCAGCAGCUCAAAUUUGAAAUCUGGCNCCCUNCCGGGGCCCGAGUUGUAAUUUGCAGAGGGCGCUUCGGGCGAAGCCCCGGUCCAAGUCCCUUGGAACAGGACGUCAGAGAGGGUGAGAACCCCGUGUCCGACCGGCGGCGCUCCCCGCGUGAAGCCCCUUCGACGAGUCGAGUUGUUUGGGAAUGCAKCUSCAAAUGGGUGGUAAAUUCCAUCUAAAGCUAAAUACCGGCCAGAGACCGAUAGCGCACAAGUAGAGUGAUCGAAAGAUGAAAAGCACUUUGGAAAGAGAGUCAAACAGUACGUGAAAUUGUUGAAAGGGAAGCGCUUGCGGCCAGACUUGCCCGCGGGUGUUCAGCCCGCCCUCGCGGCGGGCGCACUCUCCCGCGGUCAGGCCAGCAUCGGCUCCGGCGGCCGGACAAAGGCCCGGGGAACGUGGCCCCCUCCGGGGGGUGUUAUAGCCYCGGGCGCAAUGCGGCCAGCCGGGGCCGAGGACCGCGCUCUGCUAGGAUGCUGGCGUAAUGGCCGCAAGCGGCCCGUCUUGAAACACGGACCAAGGAGUCUAACGUCCAUGCGAGUGUUCGGGUGUCAAACCCCUGCGCGCAAUGAAAGUGAACGGAGGUGGGAGCCCUCGGGCGCACCAUCGACCGAUCCCGAUGUCUUCGGAAGGAUUUGAGUAAGAGCAUGGCUGUUGGGACCCGAAAGAUGGUGAACUAUGCCUAGAUAGGGUGAAGCCAGAGGAAACUCUGGUGGAGGCUCGCAGCGGUUCUGACGUGCAAAUCGAUCGUCAAAUCUGGGUUU
rnacentral:rRNA from 1 species